rnacentral:rRNA from 1 species
AUGAACGCUGGCGGCGUGCCUCAUACAUGCAAGUCGAGCGAACGGACGAGAAGCUUGCUUUUCUGAUGUUAGCGGCGGACGGGUGAGUAACACGUGGAUAACCUACCUAUAAGACUGGGAUAACUUCGGGAAACCGGAGCUAAUACCGGAUAAUAUUUUGAACCGCAUGGUUCAAAAGUGAAAGACGGUCUUGCUGUCACUUAUAGAUGGAUCCGCGCUGCAUUAGCUAGUUGGUAAGGUAACGGCUUACCAAGGCAACGAUGCAUAGCCGACCUGAGAGGGUGAUCGGCCACACUGGAACUGAGACACGGUCCAGACUCCUACGGGAGGCAGCAGUAGGGAAUCUUCCGCAAUGGGCGAAAGCCUGACGGAGCAACGCCGCGUGAGUGAUGAAGGUCUUCGGAUCGUAAAACUCUGUUAUUAGGGAAGAACAUAUGUGUAAGUAACUGGGCACAUCUUGACGGUACCUAAUCAGAAAGCCACGGCUAACUACGUG